rnacentral:rRNA from 1 species
GAUGUGAAAGACCCGGGGCGUCAACCUCGGAAUAGCAUUUGAAACUAGGCAGACUAGAGUACUGUAGAGGGGGGUAGGAAUUUCAGGUGUAGCGGUGAAAUGCGUAGAGAUCUGAAGGAAUACCGGUGGCGAAGGCGGCCCCCUCGGACAGAUACUGACACUCAGAUCGCGAAAGCGUGGGGAGCAAACAGGAUUAGAUACCCCUGGUAG